rnacentral:rRNA from 1 species
ACUGAAACAUCUAAGUACCCUGAGGAAAAGAAAUCAACCGAGAUUCCCUUAGUAGUGGCGAGCGAACGGGGACUAGCCCUUAAGCUUCUUUGGUUUUAGCGGAACGCUCUGGAAAGUGCGGCCAUAGUGGGUGAUAGCCCUGUACGCGAAAGGAUCUUAGAAGUGAAAUCGAGUAGGACGGAGCACGAGAAACUUUGUCUGAACAUGGGGGGACCAUCCUCCAAGGCUAAAUACUACUGACUGACCGAUAGUGAACCAG